rnacentral:rRNA from 1 species
GAUGAACGCUGGCGGCGUGCCUAAUACAUGCAAGUCGAGCGAACGGACGAGAAGCUUGCUUCUCUGAUGUUAGCGGCGGACGGGUGAGUAACACGUGGAUAACCUACCUAUAAGACUGGGAUAACUUCGGGAAACCGUAGCUAAUACCGGAUAAUAUUUUGAACCGCAUGGUUCAAAAGUGAAAGACGGUCUUGCUGUCACUUAUAGAUGGAUCCGCGCUGCAUUAGCUAGUUGGUAAGGUAACGGCUUACCAAGGCAACGAUGCAUAGCCGACCUGAGAGGGUGAUCGGCCACACUGGAACUGAGACACGGUCCAGACUCCUACGGGAGGCAGCAGUAGGGAAUCUUCCGCAAUGGGCGAAAGCCUGACGGAGCAACGCCGCGUGAGUGAUGAAGGUCUUCGGAUCGUAAAACUCUGUUAUUAGGGAAGAACGUAUGUGUAAGUAACGUGCACAUCUUGACGGUACCUAAUCAGAAAGCCACGGCUAACUACGUG